GCUUAGCCGUAAACUUUGAUAUACCAACACUUUUAUAUCCGCCUGGGCACUACGAGCGUUAGCUUAAAACCCGAAGGACUUGGCGGUGCUUUAGACCCCCCUAGAGGAGCCUGUUCUAUAACCGAUAACCCCCGUUAAACCUCACCCUUUUUUGCUAAAUCCGCCUAUAUACCGCCGUCGUCAGCUUACCUUUUGAAAGAGUAACAGUAAGCAAAACUGGUAUAACCUUGAACGUCAGGUCGAGGUGUAGUAUAUAAAAGGGGAAGAAAUGGGCUACAUUCAUACACUAAUGAAUACGAAUUGUUUAUUGAAAUAUAAGCAUAAAGGAGGAUUUAGCAGUAAGAAGAAAAUAGAGUGUUCUUCUGAAAUAGGCUCUGAAGCGCG
rnacentral:rRNA from 1 species